rnacentral:rRNA from 1 species
GAAGGCGGGCAGCUACACAUGCAGUCGAGCGAACCUUCGGGUUAGCGGCGGACGGGUGAGUAACGCGUGGGAACGUACCCUCUUCUGCGGGAUAGCCACUGGAAACGGUGAGUAAUACCGCAUACGCCCUUCGGGGGAAAGAUUUAUCGGAGGAGGAUCGGCCCGCGUUGGAUUAGGUAGUUGGUGGGGUAAUGGCCUACCAAGCCUACGAUCCAUAGCUGGUUUUAGAGGAUGAUCAGCCACACUGGGACUGAGACACGGCCCAGACUCCUACGGGAGGCAGCAGUGGGGAAUCUUAGACAAUGGGCGCAAGCCUGAUCUAGCCAUGCCGCGUGAGUGACGAAGGCCUUAGGGUCGUAAAGCUCUUUCGCCAGAGAUGAUAAUGACAGUAUCUGGUAAAGAAACCCCGGCUAACUCCGUGCCAGCAGCCGCGGUAAUACGGAGGGGGUUAGCGUUGUUCGGAAUUACUGGGCGUAAAGCGCACGUAGGCGGAUUGGAAAGUUGGGGGUGAAAUCCCAGGGCUCAACCCUGGAACUGCCUCCAAAACUCCCAGUCUGGAGUUCGAGAGAGGUGAGUGGAAUUCCGAGUGUAGAGGUGAAAUUCGUAGAUAUUCGGAGGAACACCAGUGGCGAAGGCGGCUCACUGGCUCGAUACUGACGC